rnacentral:rRNA from 1 species
UACAGAGGUCCCGAGCGUUGUUCGGAAUUACUGGGCGUAAAGGGUGCGUAGGCGGUGGGGUAAGUUUGAGGUGAAAGCUCCGGGCUCAACCCGGAAACGGCCUUGAAAACUAUCCUGCUAGAGGGUUGGAGGGGAGACUGGAAUUCUCGGUGUAGCAGUGAAAUGCGUAGAUCUCGAGAGGAACACCAGUGGCGAAGGCGGGUCUCUGGACAACACCUGACGCUGAGGCACGAAAGCCAGGGGAGCAAACGGG